GCUCAAAUAAAUUGGUUAGUCUCUAAGGUGCCAAAAGUCCUCCUUUUCUUUUUGAUCUAUCUCAGUAUCCUGUCUCUGAGAGUGGCCAGUACCAGCGCUUCAGAGGGAGUGUAGCGAACAGGGCAGUUGCAGAGUUCCCCUGUCUUCCCCCUCCCAGUCUCUGUAGUCAGAGGUUUAGGGUUGCCUCAAGCAUGGUGUUACAUCCCUGACCAUCUUGGCUAAUAGCCUAUCCUCAAUUUUCUUAUCUAGUUCUUUUCUAAACCCAGGUAUACUUUUGGCCAUAGGGACAUACCAUGGCAGUGAGUUCCACAGGUCAGUUUAAUCGAGUGAAGGCUCCUCUCCCUCUGUUUUGUUUCUUUGUAUUGUGGGAAAGGGAAAAUAAUAUGUCUCUAUCCACUUUUUCUACACCUUUCAUCAUUUUAUAGACCUCUAUCAGAUCCCUCUGUAGUUUCCUCUUCUCUUAAACUGAACAAGACGAAUGUUUUUAGUCUCUCCUCAUACGGAAGCCAUUCCAUGCUCUUCGUCAUUAUUGUCCCCCUGCUCUGCCACUAUAUCGUUUUUCAGAUGAGGCCACCAGAACUGGACACGGUAUUCAAGGUAUGGGUGCACCGAGGAUUAUAUAGUGGCAUUAUGAUAGUUUCUCUUAUUUUUCUAUCCCUUUACUGAUAGGUACUAACAUUCUGUAAGCCUCUUUGACUGCUGCUAUGCAUUGAGCUGAUGUUUUCAGAGCAUUAUCCAUGGUGACUCCAAGGUCUCUUUCUUGAGUGGUUAACAGCUAAUUUAGAACACAUCAUUUUGUAUGUGUAGUUGGGAUUAUUUUUUUCCAGCGUGCAUUACUUUGCAUUUCUCAAAAUUGAAUUUCAUCGGCCAGUUUAUUGCCAAGUCACCCGCAUUUGUGACAUCCCCUGCAAUGCUCUGCAGUCAGCUUCUCAGCUCCUUGGAGCUCAGAUCAAGUGUUAGUAGACCCUCGGUCUAUCAAAUGCUGUGAUCGUCUUGAUGUUUUUGGUCUUUUGGCCCUGAGCUGAAAACCUUGUCUGUGUCUCUUGGACCGUGAAGUAAAAACAUUAUCUAAGUUAUAUCUGCUAUGUCCUUUAUUUGAGAACGGUAUAUGAAAUUUGAUUUUUGAAUUAGAGAGGUAGAAGAGCAGCUUUCUCUGUCCACCCUGUGCAUCAACCUGACAUUGCAGUACUUCCAAGAAUGGUGUAUCUCUUUUGGGGAGAAUAUUUUGGUUAGAAAAAUAGAAAGAGUUUCACUGUGUUUUUGUAUGGCUUCUUUGAAGUAGAUCUUUACAAUAGUUGAAAUGCAUUGGUUUGUUUAUGAUGAAAUAUAGUUAAAGUUUCUUGUAGUGUUCUGUGAGACUAUAUAUGUGAGUUUCUUUGUUUUACUGGAGAAUUGUUUAAAAAGCUGGGGUUUUACUUUCUGCUGUGAUUGCUUUUGACAAUAUGAGGAAUUAAUGUUUUCCAGACUUGCGGGUCUGUGGGGGGGACUUUUUUCUUUAAUUUUGUGUUUUGUAAUAUUGAAAGUCUCAGGUAGAUCAAUGACUGCCUAAGUUACAUAGACUUCUCCCCACCCAGCAUAUGCUCCCAGUAUCUUGGUUUGUAAAAUCCAGUGAAGGUACUAUGCGUCAUGCUGCUCCCAGGGGUGCCAGUCCCGAUGAGGUUUUUUUCAAACCUAAUGUAAUGUAAAUUCUAAAUAAUAAUCCUUAUCAGUGUUGCCAACCCUCACCACUGGAAAUCAUGAGUAAAACUCCCGGAAAUCAUGGGAUUGGCUUAAAAAUCAUGAGAAUUUUUGUUUUUUAAUGUCAUGUGGGUUCUCUUUAUUUCCCUUUCAGUUUCUGAGCCUUUAAGGGGCUCUCAGGUCCCAUUUGAAACAUUUCCUCUGCAACCGGGCAAGCUAGAAACUUAUCUUUCUAGGACAGACCCAGCCCCAGAGAGCAGGAGCCCUGGGCACCUGGGGCUGGCAGACAAUGGGGCUCCUGGUGGUUAUAUAUUCUAUACUUAGAUUUCACCAGCCAAGUAUCAAGUGUGAACUCUUCAGACACUAAAACAGCCUUAACUUGGAGUCACAGACAGUCCCCUUGGGCACGCUGGUCUAUCUUGCCAGCCAGGUGAGCUCACCUUUGUGAUAGAUGGUGCCUUACACUAAAAACCACAACAGUAUUCAGGUCAUUCCCGGUCACUCGCCCGGUAAAUUGCAACUCAGACCGAAGACAACGCCCAUAGGCAAUCCUAUAAUAAACUAACUAAAUAUUUAUUCACUAGGAAAAGAAAUAAGAAACUUAUUUGCCAGGUUAAAGCAGGUAAACAUACUCACAAAUGAAGCCUUAUUUUGAUGAGGUUGCUUUUUGAUGUAAAAAAAUAGAAUGAUUUCAGGAGUUUUAUCAUAAGUUAACGAGGUUUACUGUCUGUGCAGAAAAUGAAAGGAACUAAGUUUGUGCUUGAAGGUUUCCCUUGUUGACAGUUGAGUUUUUAGGAAGUUACGUAGCAUAACUCUGAUGAUGCUGAAAGGCCUCGCUCAAAAACUAUUUAUUUUUGAAUGAGAUUGUACAUUAUAGAUAAUAUCUGACAUUAAUUCUAGAAUUCAUGACUGAGAAAUUCUGGGCAAACAGCUUGGUGGCUGGAUUCAAACCGAAGCACUGAUAUUGCAGAGCCUUCCAUUUCUGCCAAAGUGAUAGCCACAGCAGCUCAUCUACUUGCCUAGUGUAGCAACUUUGUGAAGGCCCAGAGUUACUCCAUUUAUCUUUUACUCCUGGGGGAAUUCUGCGCGUGUGCAUAAUUAAUGAACCAUGCAUAUUUUAAAUUUUUUUGCACAGAAAAAAGCUUCUGCCAAAAUGUUGCUGCAGUUCUGCCUUUUGCCCACGAGAGGGCAUUGUGGCGAUCAAAGAAAGCAGCAGCUCUUGGCCAGCUAAGGAAGAGAAAGCCUGACUUCUUCACAUCGCCUGUUAGGCCAGGUGUGCGACCAAUAGCUGAGUUUCUGGCCAAUUCCGAGUCAGAAGAGGUGGAAAGAACAAGUGGAAGUUCUGUUGAAUUCUUUAGGCCAUGGCAAUCUCAAGUAUCAGAAUCAAGUAUACAAAGGCCUGAUUGCUUUGCUGACAUGCACCCCCACAAAGCCCAAUAGCUGUCUCUGCAGACACUCAGGACUGCGCAGGCACUUGUCAUCAAGGAAGGUUGGGGAUUGCCACCCCCUUGCACUCCCCAAAUCUACAGGACCGAGAGGAGAGGAUUUUAUAGAGAUUUUGAAAACAUUUUGUCUCUCUUUUCUCCACACUUUGUAUAACACUUGUCUUCUUUCACUGUAAGCUCUUCAGGGCAGGGAACUUUUCUACCUUUUUGUCUAGCCCCAAAGCAGUGGGGCCGUGAUCCUGAUCGGAGCCUCUGGGUGCUGCCAUAUUAAAAAUACUAAAUAACAGUAAUUAAUAAUUUGCUGCCCCAAUAACUGCAGUCCUGAGUCUGAGAACCCUGGGGUCACACUGGGCAACCAUUACUUUGGUGAGCACUUACAUGAGGAGCCCUAUUCGAGAAUGAGUGCUCACUGACUAACCUGAGUAAGGGCUGCAGCAUCAGCCCCAAGAGACCAUUUCCCCGAGUCUCUCGGAGCACAGUGCUGUGCAGUUCUCUGUAUCCCGAGGAUCCAACACGUGUGAACAUUUCAGUGGGCUGCAGAUGCGAGAGGAGUAACAGCCCCCUUGUUCCUUGCGCGGCCUGCUAAGGGGGUGGCGGAGGCUGGGGAGGAGCCGGCCGCUUUCUGCUGCCCCGGGGCGGGAGCCCCUGCAGACUCCGGGCAGUGGCCGGUCCGGCCCCACCAGCUCGCCCGGGGCGGCUCAGCGGCCCUUGCACCGGCCCUUUCUCGCGGGCAAACGGGAGCGACCAGAGCCCCGAGCCCGACUGCACCGCACCUGCCCCGCAAGCUCCCAGCCCGGGGGCGUCUCGCGCGUGGCUCCGGGUAACUCGUGGGCUGCGGGGACCCCGCGAGCCAGCGCCCCGCCCAGAGCCGCGUUCCAGGGGCUGCAGCUCGGAGGCCGGGGCUCCCCCGCCCUCUACGAUCUACCCGGGAAUGCUAAUUUUCAUACCCGUGAUGCAUUGCGCACCCUGUGCCGCGUCCCUGAUCCAUGGGCUGGGUUUGCUCGCAGGGACCCUGGUUCCGAGGAGCAAACGCGCGCUUUAAUCGGGCCCGUGCAACAGGCUGUAAAAACGGGGGGUUUAGCCCCCCGUCAGUAGAGUCACCGUGAGGUAGUGAAGUGUUGCUGUUGCCCUGGGAGCCCUUCUGCAGAGUGUAAAGUAUACUCUGGUUUUUCUUCAGAUCGUAUAAAUCUUUCGCCUUUUACUAAAGAUUUCCGUGGAGAGGAACAUUUAUGAGUUUCUACCUAAUUUUUUGAGGCUUCACUUCGGUGAAGCUAUCUAAUGUUGUGAAAAAAACAGAACAAGUUGUGUGUGCAAGAAAAUUUGUGUUUGUUUUAUAAAACUUUUUAGCUGUAAUUUAUGGUUUUGGAAGGGACAUGCUAUUUUUUCUUUUUGUAUAUGAUGGGUUGUGUUGUGUAACUUUUUAAGCCGGGUGUGUUUUGUGACCCAUCUUCCUCUGAGGGUGGACCGGGUUGCUUAGUGUUACUACCAUGUCCAGACAAUAAUUGUAUAGUGUAAACAAUAACUUGCAGAUCUGUUUUAAUUUGUCAUUUUCUUUGUGCAUGGUUUCAGUUCCAAAUUAAGGAUUUAGAAUAUUAAUUAAUCCCCAUGCCCUAUGCAUAGAAUUUAGCUCCAGCUGCAUGUUUUCUGUUAUUUAAUGGUGCAAAAAGAGGGUACUCAUGUUGGCCUAAAUUAUGUUAUGCAGAAGUCACAAUUAAUUCUUUGACCCCAGGUUUUCCCAUAGGAACAUCAGAACUGCCAUACUGGGUCACACCAAUGGUUGAUCUAUCUCGGUAUCCUGUCUCUGAGAGUGGCCAGUACCAGCGCUUCAGAGGGAGUGUAGCGAACAGGGCAGUUGCAGAGUUCCCCUGUCUUCCCCCUCCCAGUCUCUGUAGUCAGAGGUUUAGGGUUGCCUCAAGCAUGGUGUUGAUUCCCUGACCAUCUUGGCUAAUAGCCUAUCCUCAAUUUUCUUAUCUAGUUCUUUUCUGAACCCACGUAUACUUUUGGCCAUCAGGACAUACCAUGGCAGUGAGUUCCACAGGUCAGUUUAAUCGAGUGAAGGCCCCUCUCCCUCUGUUUUGUUUCUUUGUAUUGUGGGAAAGGGAAAAUAAUACGUCUCUAUCCACUUUUUCUACACCUGUCAUCAUUUUAUAGACCUCUAUUAGAUCCCUCUUUAGUUGCCUCUUCUAAACUGGACUAAUGUUUUUAGUCUCUCCUCAUACGGAAGCCAUUCCAUGCUCUUUGUCAUCAUUGUCCCCCUCCUUUGAAUGUUUUCCAGUUGCACUAUAUCCUUUUUCAGAUGAGACCACCAGAACUGGACACGGUAUUCAAGGUGUGGGUGCACCAAGGAUUAUAUAGUAGCAUUGUGAUAGUUUCUCUUAUUUUUCUAUCCCUUUCCUGAUAGUUACUAACAUUCUGUAAGCCUCUUUCACUGCUGCUAUGCAUUGAGCUGAAGUUUUCAGAGCAUUAUUCAUGGUGACUCCAAGAUCUCUUUCUUGAGUGGUUAACAGCUAAUUUAGAACACAUCAUUUUGUACGUGUAGUUGGGAUUAUUUUUUCCCAACGUGCAUUACUUUGUAUUUCUCAAAAUUGAAUUUCAUCGGCCAGUUUAUUGUCCAAUCACCCACAUUUGUGACAUCCCCUGCAAUGCUUUGCAGUCAGCUUUGGACAUUACUGUUUUGAAUAACUUUGUGUCAUCUGCAAACUUUUCCUCUUCGCUGUUCACUCCCGUUACAGAUCAUUUAUUAAUAUGUUGAACAGCACAGGUACCAGUGACCACCUCCACAGCUUGGGAAACAGUAUUGCCAAACAGAAAAACAGGAAGAGCAGUUAGGAGAUGUCAUCUCCAACAGGACUUCAGCCUACGAAAUAGGGGAUAAUGCUUUGGCCACAAGACCAAUGAGGGGCAAUAGCCCUAGAUAUGAGAGGGCCCACAUGACUGCAUAGCUCUGUUCACACCAGGGAAGAUUAAAUAAAUGUUAUACAGCUCAUUGCAUGAUUGCUCUUUUCAACAAAAUACUUCAGAUUUUAUAUAACAGGAAAGGGCCCUGCUACCUUCUCCCCCCACCCCAGACCCCUGUUUUCCCCACAGUGCACACAUUCAACAUCUGCUGCUCGCAGAUGUUACAUUCACCUCACACAGAAAGACCUACUACAAAGCAAUUCUAGUUGAAAUAAAAUAACUUGUUAUAAUGUUUAUUAUAUAUGCUUAAUUAUAAAUUAUAUUAGCAAAAUCUAUAAUUAAAAUGAAGUUUCUCAUGAACCACACACUAGUUGCAAACCUUUGACUGUAUGGUCACCUUUGGUAAGGGUAAAACUGCCUUACUAAGGAGAUUUGAGAAGUCUUAUAAAUGCAACAGACAUGGCGAAUGAGCCAAAAGCAAACACCCUCCUCCCGCCCCCACUCCAGCUGUCGCUGUACUCCAGGGUACUUCAGACUUGAACUAUGUAAAUGAGAGCCAUUGCUAUGGGUACCAAUACUCUUACUCAUCAAAUAAGAGUCACCAUGAGGAGAUAAAUGUUGUUUUGCUUUUGACAUAAUAGAUCUAUCCAAUUUCUAUUAUGUGACUAAGGAAGUUGUUGUAGACAGCUACGAAUGAUCAUUCACUGUUGUCUACUGUAUAUUUCUAGAUGGUCAGUUCUGGCAGAUAGCAGAUGAUCAUGCCAUUCUUGUUAUGAUUCACUUCUGGAGCGAUAAAGGUAGUAGCCCACCUCCCAUAGGCCAGCAGAUGUGGAAUGGUUUUUAUCUAAAAACAAAGUUGCCUUCAAAAUGCAUGUUUUUCUAUCAGCCUUCUCUUGGUGUAGGUCACAUUGUAGGGAAAUAGUGUUUUGGCUUUAGAGAUGGGCAGGAUGCAGUGGAUUUUUCUGAUGUAGCAUUUUUUAAAAUGUCUAUUGCUUUAUUUGAGAGUAAUCAAACAUGGACAGCCCCUGAGCCCUGCCUUAAGCCAGGCUUGAGGAGGAGGUAUAGCUGAGUAAAGAAAAGUUACGCCAUUUUUAGGGAGGCUGCACAAACUAGAUCAUGUCAAUGUAAAAGGAAGAGGAAAAGAAGAUUAAAGACCCUGUGUCAGAUGUGGGAAACACACCACUCUUCUAAAAGAAGAGGGAGCUGGACAUUUGUACUCAGUUAUCUAGCACAACUCACAAGAAGUCAUGUCCUUACCAUCCAUAUCUAUGCUGCUGAUUCACUUGUAACUGCUAGAUAUUAAGCUGACCUAUUGUAUCUUAACUUUUACAAAGGUAUUAAGCCAUAUAUUUAAUUACAACUGACAAGGAAAGUAUUUGGUUCUCCGUCAGAGCUUGGGACUUCUUGUUUUCUUAGGUGUUAAGUAAGAAACCAACCUAAAGAUCAGAUAAAGUCCUCCCACGGAGGUCUUAUGUCACCUAAACACAUGCCUUGGUUUGUGGAGAACAUGGCACUGGAAAGGUGGUUUGAAAGUGUGGUAAACAAAUGUACAAGGAAAAUUAACAAGCUCAGAGCAACAUGAUACCAUCAUCAUGGGGGAUAUCAAAGAAAGUAGUAUCUAGUCUUCAGAAUUGAGACAGCAGAAAGACAUAGAUCCUUUGAAUAAGGUACAGCUUGGUGGAUUUGUUUCUUAGGUUUCUCUAACUUCCCCUCUUUCCAGCAUACAAAAUAACCACUACAAGCUCCUGGAGCUUAGUUUUCAAUUGAAAAAUAAGAAUUCCUAAAUUGCUAACUCCACUUUAAAGUAAAAUCAAAACCAAAGUGUCCAUGUGUUACAAAUGACCAAUAGCCUCCCUCCUCUCAAACCCAAUAACUAAGAUCCAAUGCGCUGCAAUGUUAUUUUAUUCUCCCCAAUUGGCCAAAAGGUUCCAUAAUUUAUGGUUUUCUUCCCUUCUUGCGCAGGGACUGGCCUUCUCCUGAAAAUGCAAUGAACCGGCUGCCAGAGUCAUCCUGAAUGUAGGAGGGAGAAAGAUUUGUUUAGGUUCAGCUUUUGUUAUUAUUGAACAAAGAGAAAACCUGCUUUAGACAACAACAUUCCAUCAUAAAAGCACUACUCCAUUGGCUACUGACAUUUCACAUCCAUAAAUUUACACAGAAAACAGGCUGCUUCCCCAAAAGUUGCUAGUGUUUCAGUGACCUUUUGUAGAUUUAAUUCAAAAUCCCUUUGCAUCACUUCCAUUUUAUAUUUCCUCCUCCAAGCUUAUACAAGGCAAAUCUUUUUAUGUUAGCUAACAUAAGAA